UGGAAAAUAUUUUAUGAUCAGUGGAAAAAAAAAAUGAGGAAGAGGAGGGUGUGGCUGCUGCUUGGAGGCUCUGGCCCUGUAGAGGGUCACUGCCUUGUGGAGAUGUGGCUCUUCAUCAGGACAAAAUGAAGCCUUCUUUUAGGAAAUGUGUAUUGAUCCUCUGAAGCCGAAUCCUCAGGCAUUUGUGGCCCGUCCUUGCAGCCCGGUCCAACUGGAGCCCUUGGAAGCGCGUCGUUCUCUGCUGAGCUGCUGCCGUGUUCCCGAGGCCUGCGCCUGCAGAUCCAGCGUGGAGAGCCCCAUCUCCAGCAGCCAGGUGGAGCAGACACCCGGGGAAAAGGGACUUCAGUGUAUGACAGAGCUCAAAUGCCAAG